rnacentral:other from 1 species
GCCCUCCGGGGCAGAGGGGAAAAUUGAUGCCCUAUCCGGGGCUACCCAGCCCCGGCCUCAUUGAAGC